UCCUACUUCAAAAGAGGGCCAUUCAAGUU
rnacentral:piRNA from 1 species